UGUUAUUUCUCCAGAUGGUUGCACUUCUAAGAAAACUGCUUGCCUGCCACUUGCUUGGUGGGAGAGAUUCCUCACAAUAAGGGACUGCAGGAAGAAGCUCUCGAACCAGCCAAGAGGCUGACACGAUGAAGUCACGAACGCUUCGAGUUUCGGUCAUAAUGCACGGAUCUGACUAUAACCAGGGGAUGUUCCACGAGCUAAAGCCUCCAUUCUCUUUGAUCCGUGACUGUCCCAAACCUGAAACAUGCUACUGACCGUAACUUUACUGUGGAUUUUACUUUUUUUUUUAAACUACUAUGAAUUCUAGCCUCCAGCUGGCAAGUGAGGGAAUACAAUUUUCAGCCUACAACAGACAUAGGCUCGACUCCAAGGUUUGGAACCACCAAGACAUCCACGGACCAAGCUAAACGUGACACCUAGCAGUCUCUGAUUGACCUCCAGGCAGACAGAACUGCUGUUUUAGCAAAAAAGUCGACUAUCCAACCUGCUCAUAGUGACAGACAAGAGAGAAUCUUGGAGGAGAGAUGCAAGUUGUUCAAAGAAGGGUCAACUUUAGGUACUAGAGCAAGAGCCACACAAUAAAUCAAGGGACAGUCGUCAUUGCGUACAAUGUUGAGAACUGCAGAGGAAUACUUGGAUGCACUAUUUGAUAACAGAGGGAGUUGUUCGCUGGAGCAGGCUCACGACUGCACAACGCCUCCCCGAGACCACUGUAGAAGGAGCUGAAGCCUUUCAGAUGGUGUAUCAACCUUUGAAUCAAGUCAUCUCUCUCUGGAUUAUAGUCACUGAUUUUCUCACCUGCGGAGACCAGCCAGAGUCUCAUCAGAAUCUGAGGGCUGAGCAUCACGAGCCACAGACACAGCAGGAGGCUGAUGAAGAGGAGGGGUCUCAACAGAUCGGGAGGCUCGCUUAGUAGCGUGUCCACACAUGCUGCUCACCUGCAGAGCAGAGAAGCAGAGAACCGGCGCUGAGUGAGCGAAUUAAAUCCCCUGAACCACCUCACCCCACUUCUGUUUCAAGCCCAACCUGUUUAUUUCAAGUCCAAUAAGAAGUGAUGCUUCAGAAAACAAGAACCUGUCAGCAGCCAAACCGGCAGCGUGUUUUUCACUGAGCCCCUUUGCAAAUUGUCAUCUGUUUUCAGUAUGUUUGUUUAUUUUUCGGAAGGAUGGAAGUGGGGGGGGGGAUUUGCAUAACAAACAAGUCAUUGGAUCCUCUGCCUUGUUCAAAUUUGUAAUCAUAACUCUCCAAAAAAAACAUGAGCUUGAGACUGAGGCCCCCGGUUCUCUGGGCCUGUCCAUUGUCUCUUCACAUGGGAUGACAUUAAAAUAACAAAUAAGGAGUCCCUCUCUGUCUUGCAGAGAUAAUGGAGCUGGCACAUUCUUUUCAGGUGCAAUAAAAAUGCAAAUGGCUGUUAAUGUUUAGCUUGUGAUUUAAUGAUUUGGCGGAUCCUUAAUUUCCCCUGGGGAUACUGGUCGAGGCUGAAUUCUGCCAUGUAAUGUUAACAGCUAAUUGUGCCCAGCUCCCCUUUAAGUGAGCUGCCUGGUAAGACUGCUGCUGAAUACCAAUGUGGCCGGAUGGAGCAACAUGGUAUAGCUUCAUCUGGUUGGAACAGGAGCCACACACACACACUGAUGCAAACACACACACACACACACACACACACACACACACACACACACACACACACAGGCAUGCAUGUUUUACAACUUAAACAAAAGUCCCUUCAUCUAUUAUUCACUUGAGUAAUGCACCUGAGCCCUUGAACAUGACACAGUUCUACAUUAUAUACGCACAACAAGCACACACACACAUUACUUAAGCACACACUUUUAUUCAUCUAAUGCUGACACGCUAAAACGAUUAUUGCCUAGAAAACAGAUUUAUCAGGGUUAAUCUAUUCAGAGAUGUCAUGCAAGGAUCCAGCCAUAAACACAGCACAGGAAACACCAAGUCAUCCCAAACCCUGUCCUCAACCUCACAACUAACCGUAACAGGGACCCUGGAAAACAUAUUCUGCCCUCUUAGCACUGAUCUUUGGUGCCUGUGAGGCCGGCUUAUGGCGGCAAGAUCUGGGUUCACACUGAGAGGGUCUUAAAGAAGGGACAUAAAUGAGCAGCAAAAAACAUCCCCUCAUGUAAACAUUGUGUGGGCCAAUAAUAUUGCAACUUUACUCUAAGCCAGGGGAGAUACGUAGCUCUAGAGCAGAGGUCUUCAAGCUGUGGCCCUGAAGCCACCUGCACAGUUGUUCUUAUUAACAUGCUGUAAAACUGAGAAGUAUUUUUCAGAUAUAAAACUUGUAAAAAAAUCUAACUUCAACUGAUUUUGUGUUUUCUAUGCAAAAGCUGCAUAAUAUUUCGCUAAAAUUAUACUAAUGGUUCAAGGGCAAAAAUGUAACUACACUUUUUUCUGUCUUAGGUUUUCAAUAUUAAAGUGAUUGACUUCUCUUUUUGUAA